rnacentral:tRNA from 1 species
CAGAGGAUAGUUUAAUGAAAAUUUUAAUUUUGGGUAUUAAUGAUAAAAAUUGUUUUUUCUUCUGA